UUGUUUGAAAGCUUCGGCGGCCACGGAUUGGCUCGCGUCCCAUUAGGCAGUUGGCGGGGUAACGGCCCACCAAACCGACGAUGGGUAGGGGUUCUGAGAGGAAGGUCCCCCACAAUGGAACUGAGACACGGUCCAUACUCCUACGGGAGGCAGCAGUGAGGAAUAUUGGUCAAUGGGCGGAAGCCUGAACCAGCCAUGCCGCGUGCAGGAAUAAGGCCCUACGGGUCGUAAACUGCUUUUGUACGGGAGCAAUAAGGGUCACGAGUGGCCUGAUGAGAGUACCGUACGAAUAAGCAUCGGCUAACUCCGUGCCAGCAGCCGCGGUAAUACGGAGGAUGCGAGCGUUAUCCGGAUUCAUUGGGUUUAAAGGGUGCGUAGGCGGCGUGCCAAGUCAGGGGUGAAAGGUUCCGGCUCAACUGGGACAGUGCCUUUGAUACUGGUGUGUUGGAGUGCGCUUGCCGUGGGAGGAAUGAGUGGUGUAGCGGUGAAAUGCUUAGAUAUCACUCAGAACACCGAUUGCGAAGGCAUCUCACGAAGGCGUAACUGACGCUGAGGCACGAAAGCGUGGGGAUCAAACAGG
rnacentral:rRNA from 1 species